GAUGAACGCUGGCGGCGUGCCUAAUACAUGCAAGUCGAGCGAACAGAUGAGGAGCUUGCUCCUCUGACGUUAGCGGCGGACGGGUGAGUAACACGUGGAUAACCUACCUAUAAGACUGGGAUAACUUCGGGAAACCGGAGCUAAUACCGGGUAAUAUAUUGAACCGCAUGGUUCAAUAGUGAAAGACGGUUUUGCUGUCACUUAUAGAUGGAUCCGCGCCGCAUUAGCUAGUUGGUAGGUAACGGCUUACCAAGGCAACGAUGCGUAGCCGACCUGAGAGGGUGAUCGGCCACACUGGAACUGAGACACGGUCCAGACUCCUACGGGAGGCAGCAGUAGGGAAUCUUCCGCAAUGGGCGAAAGCCUGACGGAGCAACGCCGCGUGAGUGAUGAAGGUCUUCGGAUCGUAAAACUCUGUUAUUAGGGAAGAACAAAUGUGUAAGUAACUAUGCACGUCUUGACGGUACCUAAUCAGAAAGCCACGGCCAACUACGUG
rnacentral:rRNA from 1 species